UACGUAGGGUGCGAGCGUUAAUCGGAAUUACUGGGCGUAAAGGGUGCGCAGGCGGUUAUAUAAGACAGAUGUGAAAUCCCCGGGCUCAACCUGGGAACUGCGUUUGCGACUGUAUGACUAGAGUACGGUAGAGAGGGGUGGAAUUCCUGGUGUAGCAGUGAAAUGCGUAGAUAUCAGGAGGAACAUCGAUGGCGAAGGCAGCCCCUUGGACCUGUACUGACGCUCAUGCACGAAAGCGUGGGGAGCAAACAGG
rnacentral:rRNA from 1 species